rnacentral:misc_RNA from 1 species
GAAAAUAUUGCGUUAUAUGAUCAGGCGCCUUGAGGGGCUCCGCUUGCCAGAUACGGUAAUUGAAUAAUUAAUUUAAAAAUCGAAGAAAUCAGGAAACGACAUUGGAAAAAAUCUAGAAAUGAACUUGAGGUCGUGCCACUCCACCUGCAUAUCAUUGGGUGCUAGCAGGGGAUGGAGAAGCCUACGAAUCAAGGAUCUGAUUACAAAGUUCGACAACGACUGAGAACUGAUUUGAGGUGUUACACUUACGUGUCUACCAAGAACGGAAUCACGACAAUGCACAGUGAACAUGGAGUGAAUCAACUAUGCCAUUCAAACUUGAUGCAAACUGACUUUGUCACUCAUUGAUCCCUGGGCCCCUCUGAAGAUAAUUUAAAUGACAAUACGCUGCGAUGAUGAAGUUAGUCUUUGAAGUGUCCAGUUCUGCUGAUGCUCUUGAUGUAUUCAUUUUUCAAGGGAAGAAUUGUCGUAG